rnacentral:rRNA from 1 species
UACGAAGGAGGCAAGCGUUGUUCGGAAUCACUGGGCUUAAAGCGCGUGUAGGCGGAGUGAUGGGUACUUUGUGAAAUCCCUUGGCUCAACUGAGGAAUUGCUAGGUAAACCGGCACUCUUGAGGCAGGUAGAGGCAGGCGGAACCAUGGGAGGAGCGGUGAAAUGCGUAGAGAUCCAUGGGAACACCGGUGGCGAAAGCGGCCUGCUGGGCCUGAUCUGACGCUGAGACGCGAAAGCGUGGGUAGCAAACAGG